rnacentral:misc_RNA from 1 species
UUUCAUUUAGACCUAUAAUGAGGACUACAAAGAGUUGUUUCACAUUGUAAAGAUGAUUCUACUGUCAUGUGCAACGAAUCCCAGUUAGGAUAUAUAACAAUUUGAUUUCAAGAAUGUAUUCUUGCAUGGACAUCUAGAAGAAAUUUAUAUGGAAAUUCGUCCAUGUUUUGCUAAUGAGAGAAUUAAAGGAAAAAAAAUUGUCAUUUGAAGAAGGCUAUAUAUGGCUUGAAACGAUUAGUUAGAGCAUGG